rnacentral:rRNA from 1 species
UACGUAGGGGGCAAGCGUUAUCCGGAUUUACUGGGUGUAAAGGGAGCGUAGGUGGCAAGGCAAGUCAGAUGUGAAAACCCGGGGCCCAACCCCGGGAGUGCAUUUGAAACUGUCUGGCUAGAGUGCAGGAGAGGUAAGUGGAAUUCCUAGUGUAGCGGUGAAAUGCAUAGAUAUCACGCAGAACGCCGAUUGCGAAGGCAGCUUACCGGCGCUCAACUGACGCUGAGGCACGAAAGUGCGGGUAUCGAACAGG